rnacentral:rRNA from 1 species
CCUACGGGAGGCAGCAGUGGGGGAUAUUGCACAAUGGGGGGAACCCUGAUGCAGCGACGCCGCGUGGGUGAAGAAGCGCCUCGGCGCGUAAAGCCCUGUCAGCAGGGAAGAAAAUGACGGUACCUGAAGACAAAGCCCCGGCUAACUAAGUGCCAGCAGCCGCGGUAAUACGGAGGGGGCAAGCGUUAUCCGGAUUUACUGGGUGCAAAGGGGGCGCAGACGGCGAUGCAAGCCAGGAGUUAAAGCCCGGGGCCCAACCCCGGGACUGCUCUUGGAACUGCGUGGCUUGAGUGCAGGAGGGGCAGGCGGAAUUCCUGGUGUAGCGGUGAAAUGCGUAGAUAUCAGGAGGAACACCGGUGGCGAAGGCGGCCUGCUGGACUGCAACUGACGUUGAGGCCCGAAAGCGUGGGGAGCAAACAGGAUUAGAUACCCGGGUAGUC